GAUGAACGCUGGCGGCGUGCCUAAUACAUGCAAGUCGAGCGAACAGACGAGGAGCUUGCUCUUCUGACGUUAGCGGCGGACGGGUGAGUAAUACGUGGAUAACCUACCUAUAAGACUGGAAUAACUUCGGGAAACCGGAGCUAAUACCGGAUACUAUAUUUAACCGCAUGGUUCUAUAGUGAAUGACGGUUUUGCUGUCACUUAUAGAUGUAUCCGCGCGGCAUUAGCUAGUUGGUAAGGUAACGGCUUACCAAGGCAACGAUGCGUAGCCGACCUGAGAGGGUGAUCGGCCACACUGGAACUGAGACACGGUCCAGACUCCUACGGGAGGCAGCAGUAGGGAAUCUUCCGCAAUGGGCGAAAGCUUGACGGAGCAACGCCGCGUGAGUGAUGAAGGUCUUCGGAUCGUAAAACUCUGUUAUUAGGGAAGAACAAAUGUGUAAGUAACUAUGCACGUCUUGACGGUACCUAAUCAGAAAGCCACGGCUAACUACGUG
rnacentral:rRNA from 1 species